ensembl:rRNA 5S_rRNA 5S ribosomal RNA
AGCCACAGCCAAAUCUCCCUGCAACCCAAGACCGGUUACUCACUGAAGCUAAACAUGGCUGAGCUUUGUGAGUACCUGGAUGGAAGACCACAUGGGAAAACUAGGUUGCUGUUGGAA